AAAAAGAACAUGCUCCUUUAGCUUGCAGGAGUUUUUUUUACCCAUCUGCUGAAACUUUCUUCUGUCAAUUCGUCAAACUCAUUCUCUGUCCAAAAGAACAUGCUCCUUUAGCUUGCAGGAGUUUUUUUUACCCAUCUGCUGAAACUUUCUUCUGUCAAUUCGUCAAACUCAUUCUCUGUCCAGUUUUGUUCCCUUGCUGGCAAGAAGUUGUGAUCCUUUGGAGGGAAGAGGUGUUCUGGUUUUU
rnacentral:lncRNA from 1 species